rnacentral:rRNA from 1 species
UCCAGACUCCUACGGGAGGCAGCAGUGGGGAAUAUUGCACAAUGGGGGGAGCCCUGAUGCAGCGACGCCGCGUGGGUGAAGGAGUACUUCGGUACGUAAAGCCCUAUCAGCAGGAAAGAAAAUGACGGUACCUGACUAAGAAGCCCCGGCUAACUACGUGCCAGCAGCCGCGGUAAUACGUAGGGGGCAAGCGUUAUCCGGAUUUAUUGGGUUUAAAGGGUGCGCAGGCGGCACGGCAAGCCGGCGGUCAAAUCGCGGGGCUCAACCCCGCCCAGCCGUCGGAACUGCCGGGCUAGAGUGGGCGAGAAGUGCGCGGAAUGCGUGGUGUAGCGGUGAAAUGCAUAGAUAUCACGCAGAACUCCGAUUGCGAAGGCAGCGCACCGGCGCCCUACUGACGCUCAGGCACGAAAGCGUGGGUAUCGAACAGGAUUAGAUACCCUGGUAUG